GAUGAACGCUGGCGGCGUGCCUAAUACAUGCAAGUCGAGCGAACAGACGAGGAGCUUGCUCCUUUGACGUUAGCGGCGGACGGGUGAGUAACACGUGGAUAACCUACCUAUAAGACUGGGAUAACUUCGGGAAACCGGAGCUAAUACCGGAUAACAUGUUGAACCGCAUGGUUCAACAGUGAAAGACGGUCUUGCUGUCACUUAUAGAUGGAUCCGCGCCGCAUUAGCUAGUUGGUAAGGUAACGGCUUACCAAGGCCACGAUGCGUAGCCGACCUGAGAGGGUGAUCGGCCACACUGGAACGGAGACACGGUCCAUACUCCUACGGGAGGCAGCAGUAGGGAAUCUUCCGCAAUGGGCGAAAGCCUGACGGAGCAACGCCGCGUGAGUGAAGAAGGUCUUCGGAUCGUAAAACUCUGUUAUUAGGGAAGAACAAAUGUGUAAGUAACUAUGCACGUCUUGACGGUACCUAAUCAGAAAGCCACGGCUAACUACGUG
rnacentral:rRNA from 1 species